AUUGAACGCUGGCGGCAUGCUUUACACAUGCAAGUCGAACGGUAACAGGUCUUCGGAUGCUGACGAGUGCGAACGGGUGGGUAAUACAUCGGAACGGUCCUAGUAGUUGGGGAUAACUACUCGAAAGAGUAGCUAAUACCGCAUGAGAUUUACGGGUUAAAGCAGGGGACCUUCGGGCCUUGGUCUACUAGAGCGGCCGAUGGCAGAUGAGGUAGGUGGUUGGGUAAAGGCUUACCAAGCCUGCGAUCUUUAGCUGGUCUUAGGGGACGACCAGCCACACUGUGACUGAGACACGGCCCAGACUCCUACGGGAGGCAGCAGUGGGGAAUUUUGGACAAUGGGCGAAAGCCUGAUCCAGCAAUGCCGCGUGCAGGAUGAAGGCCCUCGGGUUGUAAACUGCUUUUGUACGGAACGAAAAGCCUGGGGCUAAUAUCCCCGGGUCAUGACGGUACCGUAAGAAUAAGCACCGGCUAACUACGUG
rnacentral:rRNA from 1 species